rnacentral:rRNA from 1 species
AUUGAACGCUGGCGGCAGGCCUAACACAUGCAAGUCGAACGAGUGGCAGACGGGUGAGGAAGGUCAGGGCAUAGGCCAGAUAGAGGGGGAUAAGGACUGAAAAAGGUAGCUAAUACCGCAUACCAUAAGAGGAGCCCAGGUGGGAUUAGCUAGUAGGUGGGGUAAAGGCCUACCUAGGCGACGAUCCCUAGAUGGUCUGAGAGGAUGACCAGCCACCCUGGAACUGAGACACGGCCCAGACUCCUACGGAAGGCAGCAUUGGGGAAUAUUGGCCAAUGGGCGCAAGCCUGACGCAGCCCUGCCGCGUGUAUGAAGAAGGCCUUCGAGUUGUAAAGUCCUUUCAGCGGGGAGGCGGUACCCGCACAAGAAGCACCGGCUAACUCCGUGCCAGCCGCCGCGGUAAUAC